CCCUGGCUUCACACAUAUGUCCCUGUGGGUGGACAUGGGGCUUGCAGGAGUCAGGUUACUCCAGAGCACCUGCGGCCUGAAGGAGUAAGGCCAGAGCAGCACUGCACAGUCACAGUGUGAUGAGAGCCACGUGUGAAUCCUACUGUCUACUCACCAUGUUAGAGAUUUUAAAAAGGAGAUGGUGACCGACUGUCCAGGAGACCCGGACACUGAGGGAGGCUGAGUCAGGGCAGACUGAGCCCAGGAUCCUGGAAAGAGGAAGAAACACACUCUGAUUCUUCCCUGAAACCAUGGCAGGUGCACGGAGCAGCUCUCUGAGCACCAGGAAAGGAAAUGGCCGUGCGCAGCAGUUUGGGAUGGCCGCAGCAGAUGAACUUCAACAGAGUCAGUGUGAGACUCCUGGAUUUCCUCAGUGUCCCCAGGCUGGGAUUCCAGACAGCCCCAAACCUGAAGGGGCACAAACCUGAAAACAAAAAGAAGUCCAGAAAGCCCUCUUGUUCAGGAUUGAAGAUAGGAAAGGAAACUUAUUUGGUUCAAAGUGAAGGCUCAGUCCCCUGCACACGGAGUGGGUCACCGCUGUGGUCUCAUCUCUCUUACACCAGCGCCUCUCCCUGGGUUCACACUGAUGUCCUGUGGGUGGACAUGGGGCUUCCUGCACCAGGUCACUCCACAGCCCCUGGACCCUCAAGGGGGAGAAAACCAGCACUGUUCAGUCCCAAUAUGAUGUGAGCCUCAUGGGAAUCCCACUGUCUGGUCACGGCAUUAGAAAUACAAAGA